GAACUCGAACACAGGUGCUGCAUGGCUGUCGUCAGCUCGUGUCGUGAGAUGUUGGGUUAAGUCCCGCAACGAGCGCAACCCUUGUCCUUAGUUGCCAGCAUUAAGUUGGGCACUCUAAGGAGACCGCCGGUGACAAACCGGAGGAAGGUGGGGAUGACGUCAAGUCAUCAUGGCCUUUAUGGCCAGGGCUACACACGUGCUACAAUGGUAAGUACAGAGGGAAGCCAAGUCGCGAGACGGAGCCAAUCCCAGAAAACUUAUCGUAGUCCGGAUCGGAGUCUGCAACUCGACUCCGUGAAGUCGGAAUCGCUAGUAAUCGCAGAUCAGCAUUGCUGCGGUGAAUACGUUCCCGGGUCUUGUACACACCGCCCGUCACACCAUGGGAGUUGAUUGCACCAGAAGCAGGUAGCCUGACCGCAAGGGGGGCGCCUACCACGGC
rnacentral:rRNA from 1 species